UUCUUCAAACUGUCGCGACUCAGACUUCAUACAUAGAGACUUCGUCGACUACGGAGGGACUUCGCCGACUGUAGAGAGCCGUCGCCGACGCCGCGUAUCGCCAUCUCCAGGCCGCCGUCGGUAAUUGCUCCAGGCCGCCGUCGGUAAUUGCUCCAGGCCACCGUCGCGAGUCUAGACCCUAGAGUCCAGAGUCCGCCGUGGCUCCAGGCCGCCGUCGCGAGUCCAGGCCUCCAGGCCGUUGUCGCGAGUCCAGAUAGCCGUCGAGCUAUGUAUGUUUGGGGUGCUAUUAGGAGAAGGAGCUGAGAAGAAGGCUAGGAUUAGGGGGAAUCAUACUCUAGAAGUGCUGUGAAAGAAGGUUCAGAGCUUUGAUUUCUUUGAGAGCGCGCAAUAGUUGUGAUCGUCUCUAUGUUCUUCAUGGACACAGUCUUGUUUGUCAUAUGAAGAGGUUUGCAUAUUUAACUUCAUUUAUUGUUGUUUUGCUUAUUCAGUUUCGAUAAUUGGUAAUUUGUAAAAUUAAGAAUACGUAUAGUAUAGGAGGUACGGAUGAAGAGUUUUAGGAAACAGUUGUACUCAGUAGCAAUGUAUUUUUGAGCUGUCAUAUGGAAAAGAUAAUCAGAAUUCAGAAGUAGUUGUAAGUUGAUGUUUUCAUAGCAAUUAACA